rnacentral:snoRNA from 1 species
GCUCUGAGUUCAGUUCAGGGCAGCCUCCCCGGUCUGUUAAUGAAACUCUGGGACAUUGAACUGGCUAGGGUAGAUGAUUGCAUAGAAAAUACUACUCUAUCCAUUUACCUCCCAGCUUACGGAA